rfam:Triticum aestivum genome assembly, contig: Triticum_aestivum_CS42_TGACv1_scaffold_557671_7AL
CAACUACUCCCUCUGUCCCAAAUUUCUUAUUUUAGAUUUGUCUAGAUACGGAUGUAUCUAAUACUAAAAUGUGACUUGAUACAUCCGUAUCUAGACAAAUCUAAGACAAGAAUUUUGGGACGGAGGGAGUACUUU